rnacentral:rRNA from 1 species
CCUACGGGAGGCAGCAGUGAGGAAUAUUGGUCAAUGGUCGGGAGACUGAACCAGCCAAGCCGCGUGAGGGAGGAAGGUACAGAGUAUCGUAAACCUCUUUUGUCAGGGAACAAAGGCGGGGACGUGUCCCCGGCUGAGUGUACCUUACGAACAAGCAUCGGCUAACUCCGUGCCAGCAGCCGCGGUACUACGGGGGAUGCGAGCGUUAUCCGGAUUUAUUGGGUUAAAGGGGUGCGCAGGCGGUCUGUUAAGUUAGCGGUCAAAGCCCGGGGCUCAACCUCGCCCCGCCGUUGAAACUGGCAGUCUCGAGUGGGAGAGAGGUAUGCGGAAUGCGCGGUGUAGCGGUGAAAUGCAUAGAUAUCGCGCAGAACUCCGAUGGCGAAGGCAGCAUGCCGGCUCCACACUGACGCUGAGGCACGAAAGCGUGGGUAUCGAACAGGAUUAGAUACCCUGGUAGUC